UACGUAGGGUGCGAGCGUUGUCCGGAAUUAUUGGGCGUAAAGAGCUUGUAGGCGGUUUGUCGCGUCUGCCGUGAAAAUCCGGGGCUCAACCCCGGACUUGCGGUGGGUACGGGCAGACUAGAGUGUGGUAGGGGAGACUGGAAUUCCUGGUGUAGCGGUGAAAUGCGCAGAUAUCAGGAGGAACACCGAUGGCGAAGGCAGGUCUCUGGGCCAUAACUGACGCUGAGAAGCGAAAGCAUGGGGAGCGAACAGG
rnacentral:rRNA from 1 species